GAUUUAAAAGGAAAAGAAGCUGGUAAGAGAGUAAACCUUACAAGUUCUCAUCACAAGAAAAAGUGCUUUUUGUAAAUAUAUGUGGUGAUGGAUGUGAACUAAACUUAUUGUCAUCAUUUAAAAAGAUACACAAAUAUGAAAUCAUUAUAUACACCUGAAACUAAUAUAAUGCACAUCAAUUAUAUUUGAAUUUUAAAAAGAUUGAGACUUUGCUAUAAAAAAACAUAAAUCAGCAUAUAAAACUAUGAUGUUUACUUAUGACCUGGAAAAAAAAAAAACACUUCUUUAGGAUACUCUCCAUAAUAACCUCCAUUUAAUUGAUGACAUGAAAUAAAGAUUGUAUCAAUUUAUCUCAUGUUUAGUUGGGAACAUAAUAAACAACUAUUUCUUUUAAUGUUUACUUAUCUAUUUUUGGGAGAGAGAGAGCAGGAAAGCAGGGAAGGAAGAGAGAGGGAGACAGAAUCUAAAGCAGGUUCUAAGAUCCAAGCUGUGAACUCAGACUGGACUCAGGACUCAA